CGGAGCGUGGCGCAGCUUGGUAGCGCACCUGCUUUGGGAGCAGGGGGUCGAAGGUUCGAAUCCUUUCGCUCCGACCA
rnacentral:tRNA from 8 species